rnacentral:lncRNA from 1 species
UCAGGACUCUUCAGGGAGUCCUCACCAACAAGAAGACACUCAGCAGAUGUAGACCCUUGUUGUUGGCCUUCCCAGUCUCCACAACUAUAAGAAAUAAAUUCUUUUUCAGUUUCAGGUAUUCUGUUACAAGCAACAAGAAAUGGACUAAGAUGCCAUAUAUUUGGUCCUAUAUAUCAGUGAAACUACUGAUGUCAGCUAGUCCGAAAGACCCCACAAAGAACUGACUCACUAAAGAAUUCAGUCUCAACAUCCUGAUGGUUUCAUCGCCUUUACCCCAACCAAUCAGUUACCUCAAUUUUCCAGCCUCUUGCCCUCCAUGAUCCCCUUAAAACUUCAGCCCAAAAUUCCUCAGGGAGAUAGAUUUGAGGGUUUCUCCUAUCUCCUCACUCAGCUGCCUUGCAAUCCUUAAACUCUUUCUCUGCUGCAAACCCUGCUGUCUUGGCAUAUUGAUCUGUUGCUGCACAGUGGGCAAAUGAACCUGUUGGUCCUGUAACAGUAAUGCUGGCAUAAAAAAACCUACUGCACUGCCAGUCCUAUAAAAGCAUACAGUAAUGUCCCAGGCCUUCACAUUCACUCACCACUCACUGAUUCACCCAGAACAACUUCCAGUCCUGCAAGCUCCAUUCAUGGUAAGUGCCUUAUACAAGUAUACUAUUUUUCUUAAUCUUUUAUACCAUAUUUUUACUGUAUAUUUUCUAUGUUUAGGUAUGUUUAAAUACAUAAAUACUUAGCAUGUGUUACAAUUGCUCACAGUAUUCAGCACAGUAACAUGCUGUACAGGUCUGUAGAUUAGGAGCAAUAGGCUAUUCCUUUUAGCCUGGGUGUGUAGGAGGCUAUACCAUCUAGGCUUAUGU